rnacentral:lncRNA from 1 species
UGUUUUUCUGGGUUACCCCUUUGCCAAAAAGGGUUAUAAACUGUAUAAUCUGGUUUCCAAGAAAUAUUUUGUCUCCAAGGAUGUUCUAUUCCAUGAAACUUGUUUUCCUUUUAAAAAUAAACCUUCUUCUGUUCACCCUUCUCCUUCAUCCUUUCCUUCUAUUCCUCCUUCUGAGCAUUCCACUGACACAGAUUUUCCUAUACAUGCUUCCUCCCCUCCUUCCCUAACAUCUGCUCCAACAUCUGAUUCUCCUGUUCCUGAUUUUACUGAUGCUGCUCCAUCUUCUCUUCCUUCUUUCAAUCAUGAUAUCUCUCCUCCUGUUUUACCUCCUUCACAUCCUCUUCCUACUUCUAGAAAGUCCACUAGACAGCAUAAUCCACCUUCCUAUCUUAAGGAUUAUGUCUGUCAACUCCCUGCCUUUUCAUGAUAUCUCUCCCCCUGUUUUACCUUCUUCACACCCUCUUCCUACUUCUAGAAAGUCCACUAGACAGCAUAAUCCUCCUUCAUAUCUUAAGGAUUAUGUCUGCCAACUCCCUG